UCAAGCACUUGCCUGCCUGCGCCAGCUAGCGUUGUGUUUGUGGUCACUGCGUUUGUUGUGGCAAUGGCGCAUAUUAAACUUUCACAGCAGACUCUGUGGGAAGUCGGAUUUGAUUUACCCCACUCUGAUAUCAACAAUCAGGUACAGGCUCCGGAGACGCGGAUUAAUGGAAUAAAAGAGCCUGUGCUUGGAGAGCAGUUCUCCAUUGGAAAACAUUCCCAAUGCGGGACUGACAACGCAGUCUUUGCUGUGAGGUUUGCGGCGUUUUAUUUUGGAUAAUGGAACGCUUCCCGAAUCUGUGGCAGGAACAGUUUUGCCUAUGAAAAUGAUGCUGGGGCCAAAAUACGAUGACCUGGUCCCAGCGGAGAACCGAUUCCACCCCAGCAUGCUCUCUGAUUAUCUAAAGAGUCUCAAGGUGAAAAUGGGACUGCUAGUUGAUUUGACCAACGCAACACAAGUUUACAACCGGAAUGAGAGCGAACAAGAAGGCAUUACAUAUGUGAAACGUCAGUGUAAAGGAGGCAUGGUGAAUGCUCUUCGACAGAACACACUCGGAUGUUUAUCAGGCUGUGUGAGCACUUCAUGGAAAAGACUCCUACUGAACUGAUGGCAUCAGAACUGCUGUGGCUGCUUUUGCUCAAGCGAGACUACCAGGAAUUUACAAGGAGAUUACCUGAAAGAGCUGUUCUGUCGCUGUGGUGACGCGGAAGACUCCCCUCCUGCCCCACCUCCGCCAGACUGGUGUUUUGAAGAUGAUGAUGAUGAUGUGCAACACGAUUGGUCAGGACAGGGGACCUGGCUCUUCAGGGUCAUUGCCAGGCAAAAAGAAAAAGGAACAUCUCAAACUGGGAGCUGUGUUCUUGGAAGGAAUUCAAGUUAAAUUUGUAACGCAAACAAAGCUUGGUGAAAUCUAGAGGAAAUGUCAGCAGUUCUCUGAAUGGGAAAGGUCUGGGUUCCCUGGAGCACAGCCAGUAUCCAUGGGUAGAAGAACCAACAAUUCCUGGAGCAAAAGGCAUACAAAGUCAGCUGGAAAGCAGAUGGCACUCCUUCUUGAUGGCAGUUUUACCUCUCAAGUAAGCCAUGCAGUAGGGAAAUACAAGCCUGGCAGAUGUGAUUAUAUAUUGAAAUGGAAACUUCCUAUCCUCAACUCUGUGGAUUUUCGUCUUAAAAUAACAAAAGCAGGAGGCUAGGGUUGCUGACACAGACUGUAGGACUGCUGUAUGUUGGCAGCUAUGAAAGACAUUUUGCUCAGGUGAAGGGGUCAAAAGAUCUGAAACAGCAUGACAACAAAAUCAUUGAAUGCACCUUUGUGAACAACACCUGGGUUUUCAUGCACCAGCGAAUAGACAAGAGCUUCCCAAACGCCUACGAAACAAACAGCCAUGGUGGUUUGCAACAGCAUUCAGCAUCCAGUCACAAAGGCAAUCCUGCUGGAAUUCAUCGAUAGGUGUGCACUUCCAGCUUGAGGACAAACACCCCCUGGAUCCAGACUCGGAGCUGAUGCCACCCCCUCCCCCAAAGAGACCGAACCGAGUUAUACCAUAGCGCUGGGGCCAGGGGCCACUCGCACCCCUUCACUACCGCUGCUGCUGUGCAGUGUCAGUUCACCUGCACAGAGCACCCCCACGUUUACUGAAAUAGAACAUCCACCUCUGUGGAAUUGACGAUGUACAAACAUUUCUUCUUAGGGCUAUGGUUAAUAUUUAGGGUUAUCUGUGGCAGCCUUUCAAAAAGGACUGCUUCUCUUUUAAAAAUGGAUUGCCCUCCUCCUCCUCCUCCCCCCUUGCCUGUACAGGAAUCAUAUACAUUUUCUGUUUGUGUUUAAUUUUGAUCAUUCCAAGUACUGUAGCGUGGAUUUCUUAUUUUGCCUCAGAGACAUUUUUACUAAACUGUAUGCAAUAUAUUCUCAUUUUACAUACAAGCAAGGACUGGUUUAGUUUAAUUAUUUUUAAAAGAAGUAUUUUACGCAUUUGUUGAUUGGUGUGAAACAUUAAAGCAAUAUGUUUCAAUUUGUUUUUUGUAUUUC